rnacentral:rRNA from 1 species
ACGAACGCUGGCGGCAUGCCUAAGACAUGCAAGUCGAACGAGAUGGUCUUUUGAAAGAGGAGUGCUUGCACAAUUCUCGAUAUAGAUUCAUCUAGUGGCGCACGGGUGAGUAACACGUGGGCAACCUGCCCGGAAGACUGGGAUAACACCUCGAAAGGGGUGCUAAUACCGGAUACCUUCACGAAGUCGCAUGACUUUGUGCAGAAAGAAAUUCGCUUCCGGAUGGGCCCGCGUCCCAUUAGCUAGUUGGCGAGGUAACGGCUUACCAAGGCGACGAUGGGUAGCUG